rnacentral:tRNA from 1 species
ACCCAGCUAGCUCAGUUGGUAGAGCAUGAGACUCUUAAUCCCAGGGUCAUGUGUUCGUACCUCAUAUUGGGUG